GGGCGGGGCGCCAGCGCCCGCGCCGCCAUCUUGCUCCAGGGAAAGGUGCAGGGAGGGGAAGACGCUUUACGGGCAAGCCCUCCCUUGCUGAAGUCAACGGUCGCCAUUUCGACAAAGGGCAAGGCAAGCGGUGGCUGCUGAGGCGCGCACCGCCCCGCUGGAACUGGGCAUUGAGCGGCGAGUGAAGCUUUCGCGGAGUCAUCUUGGGUGUGGGAAGGCCCGUGGCUGCCCUCGACAGCAACUCGGAGCCAGUUUCCUGGUUCUGCCCCCCUCUCGGGCUGCCACCGAAUCCUUUGAAGAGUCGGCUCAAGUCGGCGCUUUGAAGCAGCACAUUCUAGCGCGCUGUGAGAAGGACCUUUGAUCGCCGCGGGGGAAGCGGCAGGGAGCGGCCUGGGCCCGCGCCAGCCCCGCAGAGGCCCAGCCCCGCAGCCCUUCCCGCGCCCUCUCCGGGGAAUCCCAGUUGGCCUCAGCUGCGUCAACACGACCCCAGAGAGGGAUCCUGAAAGUGGAGUUUAACAUAAGAGGGGCUAGGGGCUAAAGGAGCCUUUCUGUUCUACGCCAUCAGGGGUGCGCUGUGGGGCAGCCGCACCAAAGCGUGAGCAGCUUGUGCGACACGCCCAAAGUUUCCGUGGGGAUAGCCAGGGUGGUCCCUCAGACUCCAGCAUACAAGCAUUCGUCUCAGAGGAAAAGUAAUCAGGAGAUUGUCCGUCAGCUUGAUUGUCCUAUCAGAAUUCCUGAUGGGGAGCUCUCAGUGUGCUGGCAGUGUGUUGCAGAGGAGAUACUUCAUGUGCCAAAAGGAGGAAUGAGGCACCAGAAGAUGCCGCUGCGGAUGUCCUGGGGGCAUUGUGUAAGAGCUGUGGAAAAGCCCGGGUUUUGCACGUUUCUAUCCAUAAAGAAUGCUGUUACUCGAGCCUCUGCGGCUCUUGUCAUUUAGGGAUCUAAUGUCUCAGUGAUGACAAUACCUGGCUGACGUUUCCUGUUUAUUUCUUUUUAAAUAACAAUACCAAGCACUCACAAAACGUUUUGCACUUUGCAGCAAUAUCAAGCAUUAACUAAUGAACCUGCUCACACCCAAAUGAGCUAUACAAUAUCAUUAUUACCGGUAGAAGGACAGAGUGACUCCUCGGGGCUGCAGUGAGUCAGUGGCAGAGCCACAGUGCCAGUGCCUCAUGGUCCUAUUUAACAUUCAUUCCUGCAGACUGUACAGCUUUGCACACCUGGAAGGUUUGCAAAACCAUCAUAAAUUAUUAGUGGGUUAAUUCUGAUAGUUUCGUAAAUUAAUGCAUCAAUUUAUUCCACAUAGAAAGUUUCAGCAAUGAAAUUCAGUCUCUUAAUCACUUGUAGGAGCUUAAAAGUGUCAGUUUUCAAAACUUGUAUUUGAAUCCUAUGAUGUGGUAAGUGCCUCCCCUUUUCGGAUGAUACAGGAAAACAUUCUCAGAAUCUGUUUUUUAUGGAAAUAAAAGUAUAUUUUUGUGUGACUCUGUGAACUUUAUUGUGCAUUAAGAAUCUUGACCUUGCUUUAAAUCUUCUUUAUGCAUUUGUUCAUUCAAGGACAUAUGAUCUGGACCCUUUGUAAGUGCAAAUGUAUCCAGUAAAACUAUUGAGGACUUAUUCAUUGCUUAUUUUCUAGAUAAAGUAGUUUUCUGCUCUUAAUGCUUUUCAGCUCUUUUUUUUUAUUGAUAGUACAUUAAUCUCAGCAAAUACUAAGAACACCUAUGGUCCCAAGAUAGCCAGAUAUCUGAGAUACCAUGUAUAUCGAGAUCUCAAAAAACCCCUGGAAAACUGUGCUGUUUACAUCAGAAAUAAAAUUGUUGCAUAUGGACACAGUGAAGAGUUGAUUUUUACAUAUAGCUUUACUUCCAGAACAUAUAAAAGGCAUUGUAUCCUCUCUUGCUUUCUUUGAUCUUUCAAUUCCACUAUCAGUUGUUAGAGUGAAGAACUGUAGAAAUGUUUCAACUAUGUUUUUCUAUUUCUAAUAAUAAUAACUGUUACUUCUUCAUCAGUGUAGGAAUCCUCAACAAAACAGCAGAACCAGCACACUAGACACCAUUCUUAAUAGGUACCAUGUUACCAAAAGGCAGGUGGAAAGUGGUAAACUUUGUCUAAUGACUUUUGUCUCAAUGAAAAUGAAGAUGUGACUGACAUUUAUUUUAAAAAUUGAUCUAACCAAGUGGCCUCCCUUUCACCAAACCGGAGGGGGUUGUGAUAAGAGUUUGAGAAUGGCCACAAGUACGGAAUGAUUUAAUAAUUUAGGCUUUGUGUAACAAGCACGUCAGUUAAAAAAAUGUGGAUGAAAAAGAAGGAACCAAAUCUCUCCAUCCAAUGGUUAAAUGUAAUAGAGCUUGCUGGUGUUGUUUUCAAGGAAGUCUGUAUGCCUCUUCGUUAGGGGUUUAAAAUUUGUUCAUCUGUUUCAUUUCUCCUUAGCAUCUGAAUCAUCACAGGACAGUUUUUGUGUUGCCCCACAGAUGUACAUUUAAAGUGAAAUUGUACCCAGUUUCUUAAAGAAUUGUAUCAUUCCAAACAGAAUUUAAGAAAAAAUACAUACAGUUCUGAUCACAGAGGGGAAAGAUAACUGUGCUUAUGUAACAGUCUUCCACCUAUUUGAAUAGAAUUGCCUGCUAAAAGAAUCACUCCUGUGAAAGCUGUAUCUAACCUCAGAUUCAGUUUAUGUAAAAAUACAGAAAUAUGCAACCCAUCACAGUGUAGAAAAUUCUGUUAUCCUUUGUUAACUAGGACUGUUGUCAAACUUCCCAUAAAUUCUGAAAAUACUUAAUUCUCUUUCCAAAAAGUCAUGAAGUGAUGUAUUUUUGAACUCUUCUUAAGUGCAUUCUUAUUUGAUUCUGUGAUAAAUUUGUAGGGAAAGGCAAGUGAGGUCCUUCAAUCAAAAAA